rnacentral:rRNA from 1 species
GGGAUCUUUCAGAGAGUCCGGCAUGGCUCUCAGUGAGUUAACAAGGUGUUGGUUAGUCGAAGGUCAUGGAACGGACCGCCAAAGACGGUGACAGCCCGGUAGACGAAAGUCAGCACCCUCACGAAAGACACCCGAGUACCGCAGGACACGUGAAACCCGGCGGGAAUCUGGGAGGACCAUCUUCCAAGGCUAAAUACUACUCAUCGACCGAUAGUGAACAAGUACCGCGAGGGAAAGGUGAAAAGCACCCCGGUUAGGGGAGUGAAAUAGUACCUGAAACCGUGCGCCUACAAGCAGUGGGAGCACUAUGGCUAGCUUGCUAGCAACGUGUGACCGCGUACCUUUUGCAUCAUGAGCCUGUGAGUUACGGUAUGUGGCAAGGUUAAGCCGUUAGGUGGAGCCGCAGCGAAAGCGAGUCUUAACAGGGCGUUAAGUCGCAUGCCGUAGACCCGAAACCCGUGCGAUCUAUCCAUGUCCAGGUUGAAGGGCCGGUAACACGGCCUGGAGGACCGAACCCACUAGAGUUGAAAAUCUAGGGGAUGAGGUGUGGAU